GCGUGGGUGAUGAAGGCCUUAGGGUCGUAAAGCCCUUUCGCCGGGGAAGAUAAUGACGGUACCCGGUAAAGAAGCCCCGGCUAACUCCGUGCCAGCAGCCGCGGUAAUACGGAGGGGGCUAGCGUUGUUCGGAAUGACUGGGCGUAAAGCGCGCGUAGGCGGAUCGGAAAGUUGGGGGUGAAAUCCCGGGGCUCAACCUCGGAAUGGCCUUCAAAACUCCCGGUCUUGAGUUCGAGAGAGGUGAGUGGAAUUCCGAGUGUAGAGGUGAAAUUCGU
rnacentral:rRNA from 1 species